CCUACGGGGGGCUGCAGUGGGGAAUAUUGCACAAUGGGCGCAAGCCUGAUGCAGCCAUGCCGCGUGUGUGAAGAAGGCCUUCGGGUUGUAAAGCACUUUCAGCGGGGAGGAAGGCGGUGAGGUUAAUAACCUCAUCGAUUGACGUUACCCGCAGAAGAAGCACCGGCUAACUCCGUGCCAGCAGCCGCGGUAAUACGGAGGGUGCAAGCGUUAAUCGGAAUUACUGGGCGUAAAGCGCACGCAGGCGGUCUGUCAAGUCGGAUGUGAAAUCCCCGGGCUCAACCUGGGAACUGCAUUCGAAACUGGCAGGCUAGAGUCUUGUAGAGGGGGGUAGAAUUCCAGGUGUAGCGGUGAAAUGCGUAGAGAUCUGGAGGAAUACCGGUGGCGAAGGCGGCCCCCUGGACAAAGACUGACGCUCAGGUGCGAAAGCGUGGGGAGCGAACAGGAUUAGAUACCCCAGUAGUC
rnacentral:rRNA from 1 species